rnacentral:rRNA from 1 species
GAUGAACGCUGGCGGCGUGCCUAAUACAUGCAAGUCGAGCGGACGGACGCGAAGCUUGCUUCUCUGAUGUUAGCGGCGGACGGGUGAGUAACACGUGGAUCACCUACCUAUAAGACUGGGAUAUCUUCGGGAAACCGGAGCUAAUACCGGAUAAUAUUUUGAACCGCAUGGUUCAAAGGUGAAAGACGGUCUUGCUGUCACUUAUAGCUGGAUCCGCGCUGCAUUAGCUAGUUGGUAAGGUCACGGCUUACCAAGGCAACGAUGCAUAGCCGACCUGAGAGGGUGAUCGGCCACACUGGAACUGAGACACGGUCCAGACUCCUACGGGAGGCAGCAGUAGGGAAUCGGCGGCAAAGGGCGAAAGCCUGACGGAGCAACGGCGCGUGAGUGAUGAAGGCCUUCGGAUCGUAAAACUGUGUUAUUAGGGAAGAACAGAUGUGUAAGUAACUGUGCACAUCUUGACGGUAACUAAUCAGAAAGCCCCGGCUAACUACGUG